rnacentral:lncRNA from 1 species
AUAACCGGAACCAAUGAACGACGCUGCGGGACCCCCCGUCUCCGGGAGCGGCCAGCGCCUCUGCCAGGUGCCUGUUAUUCGACGGCCCUGGCCAGUAAGCGAUGCCCAGCCGGGUGCCCAGACGCUGGCGUCCUGGCCGCUGCUUCGUCGCGAUCCCCUGCACUCCGGACGCCUUCCCUCUUCCCCCACUGACUCCCCGCCCUCGGCAGAGCCUCUCGAAGGCACCCACUUAGGUCUGCUCCUCGGUGUUCCACGCUGAGCAAUGCGGUGGUUUCUCUUCCGUGCCGCAGAAGAGCCAGCAGGGUCUGCAGAGCAGGGUACUGGGCUGUGUGUUUUUUGUUGUUGUUUUGUUUUUCUUUUGGAGACUGCUUGAAAAAGUCAGCAGCAGCAGCAAUGCGGUAUUGAGUCUGCCUCUGGUGUUGCUUUUGCAAAGGCAGCUGGCAGCGAGUCUCACCGGUUCAGAGCCCCACUGAGCACAGUAUCCCAGGGGAGUCUGCUAGAGAGGAUUCUUUGAGAGCCAUAAUACCUAGCAGUAUUAGUGGUCCCUAAUUAGUAUGCAGAAACCUCUAAGUCUAAUGUGUAUUUUUUGAGAGGUGAGAGGAAGACUUUUUCAGUGAUGGAUAGUAUUUGCUAGUGGGAGCAUCACCGGGUGACAAAGGGUGCAGAAAGCUCAGCAGGUAACCAGGAGUAUACCUACAAUUUACUUGGUGCAGAAUGUUCAGUGCUUGUAUUCGAGCAGCACAGUUCUGAUACACUGCAUCAGCACCUUUUAAAAAAUAUGGAACAUUCUUGAAAUUAUUGAAAACUUGCGAACACGUGUGGUAAAGUUAGGUAGCCGACUGAAUCCUUUUAAAGCUUUCCCUUGUCCUGUACAGUUGGUAGGUUGUGGUUUAAGUAAUGUAAGGAUCUUGAAAUGGGUUUCUUUUACGAAAGUAGUGGAGUGAAAGUAAGCUUUGGGGUUGUACUUUGUUUUUAAAAGUAAUCUGUAGAUUUUACAUAAUUGCAGAACUAAAAAGGAAAAGUAAAUGACACAAGAUGACCCAUCAUUCAUUUAUCAAAAGUGGUAGUCCAGCGGACGUUUGAAAGUUACCAACAGCUGCUGUGAGCGGUGCUCAGGAGCUGUGUUCUUUAGAGCAAGGCAGCUAUUCUCUGGGUUCUCUGACAGGAUGUUUACUGUGAGGAGGCUGUCGGUACACUUUCCAAGCUCUUUGGAACUUGUAGUGUAUGGAACUUAAUGAUCAGACUAUUUAACUUGCUUUAUUUUACCCUGAAAUAUAUCAAGGUAUCUGCCCCUUACAUGGAGCUUGAAACAUCAAACCUAUCCCUGGGUAAUUUUGAUAAAAUGAUUUACAGAAUGGUCAGUAUCAGGAGUGUAAUGUGGUUUGAGAGGAUAAGUUGGGUGGUAUUAUUCUUGAACAUAUAAUUCUUACAGUGGUUGUUUUGAAAGUAACAAGGGAAAACUGUAAUGUGAAGGUGUAAUGUCUCAUGCAGGAGGGAGUGUGGCUUUUGGUUUCUUGAGCAGAAGGUUUGGUUAGUAACUCAUGGAAGGGCACAUAAUUCAGAAAAUGUAGUGUUUAUUAACCACACGCAGUGUAUUGUAUAUCAUGUAGACUGUAUCAAGAAAAUUAGUUAAGAUGGAAUUGUAUUUUGCUAAGUUGUUUAUAAUCCUUCCUUUUGAAGACUAAAUUCCUCUGAGUUAUUUAUGGUAUGGUGAAAAAGGAAUGGUGAUUGUUAGUGCAUAAAAAAUCCGAUAGAUCACACAAAACGAGUUUGUGCUGUAGUGCUUUAAAAUAAGUUUACUCUGAUCAUAUUAACCCUGGGAUUAAUUUUUAAUAUUCUUAUUCUUUUCCUUUGUUAGAACAUUGAUUUUUGACAAUCCCAACUUCUCCAUGUAAAAUUUAGGAUAAUCAGACUACACAGUGUACAAGUUAAGUUGUUGUCACUUUAAUCGUUUAUGUAAAUACAGUCAGUAGCACUGGUAUCUGGGAAAAGGUAAGUCGAAAGUCCAUGAUAAAGUUAGAACAUAUUGAAAAUGUCUUUGAAUUGUAUGGUCUGUGUGAGGCUCCUUUCUAUUCUUCUGAUUUUAUGAAUAGUGCUUUCUUCUAUGGGUCCCAUUUGUAAAUGUUGCACUGAACCCAGAACGUAAUUAAUUAUUGUUAUUGUUCACUUCAGGCAGUAGAACCAUAGACUAAAGUUAAAAAAUACUGCUUUAUCAGAAUCUAGGCAGUAUUAAUGGAUACAAAUGUAGCAGAGAGUUUCAGUAAUAAAACUAAACUUCAUGUGAAUUUUGUAAGCGGGAAAUUCUUGUAAGAAUUUUGAGAGACUUGUUCUCUCUGGCUCUGCAUUAAAGAUGUCAUUUAACAGAGUGAAUUCUUAAUAGCUCUGAAAAUGACAAAGGCAUUUUAUCUUCUCUUUUCCUCUUCAGAUUAGUAUUUUAAAUACUUCCAUUAGGAACUUCCUAAGAGUUUCCCUCUUACUAAUAAAAUCUAGAAAACAUUCUUUUCCACUGAAGUUUACCUUUUAAGAGUUUUACUUUAGAGGUUUAGUGUAUUUUAAGAAUACGCUGUCUUUAAAUCAUCUAUCGUAUGCAUAGUUUUGAGCAAGCAGGUGUUCUUAUAGAGAGACUAUGUCAAAUCAUCAAAAUAAACAGACCCAUUGUCAUAAGAAUAGUGGUUUAUAUUUUCCUUUUUUAUAUCACCUUUUCAGGAUUCAUUGUGCGCAAAUGUUUUGAUAAGAUGAAACCAUUAAAUAUUUACAAUGCUAUGUAGUAACGGCUUAAGUUAUAUAUGUGGCAUAUAUAUAAUUUUAAUAAUAACAAUACAUAUACUUUUAGGGUUCUUUGAAAGUGAUUGAAAUUUAAAGCAAAUUAGCAAUUGGUUUUUAAAAUUUAAUUUAAUUUUAUGGAUGCAUUGAAGCAUAUGGAAGUUCUUGGGCCAGGGAUUGAAUCGGAGCAGCAGCUGUGGCAACACGAGAUCCUCUAGCCCACUGGGCUGGCUAGGGAUGGAAUCCACACCUCCCCAGCGACCCAAACUGCUGCAGUCAGAUUCUUAACCCACUGUGCCACAGUGGGAACUACAGGGAUUGGUUAUAGAGAGCUUGUUGAUUAUAAUCAAAAAGUAGUAAUUCAAAACAUCACUUUUCCAAACAGAUUUAGUAGAGUCAAUGAAUUGACUCCUAGUGAGGAGUAAUUGACCUUAUCCAGAUAUGGUCCCUGAAAAAUAAUUUAUGAAAAAGGACAAUGAAAAAAAACCCCAUAUUAUGUAUAUACAUACAUACAUGUAUCAUAUAUGUAUAUAUAUAAAACAUUUAUCCUGGCAAAAUAUGUGGAAUAAUUGAAACAUUAAAAUACUUUUUUUAUAUGUAGUUGUUUCAGAAUUUUUAAAAACAAAUUUUAACUUUAGAAAUGUUUGCUUUUAUUAUUGUUUUAUGAAUGAAUGUAACCUUCUUUAGUGUCUAUAUAAAGGUUUUAACUAUAAUACUUUACACUAAUUUGGUAUGUUACUAGGAAUGUAAAAUGCGUAUUUUAUUUAAUUAAUUAAUUAAUUUUUUUGUCUUUUUGCCAUUUCUAGGGCCGCUCCCGAGGCAUAUGGAGGUUUCCAGGCUAGGGGUCUAAUUGGAGAUGUAGCUGCCAGCCUACGCCAGAGCCACAGCAACGUGGGAUCUGAGCAUCCCAGCCGCGUCUGCGACCUACACCACAGCUCACGGCAACGCCCGAUCGUUAACCUACUGAGCAAGGCCAGGGAUCGAACCCGCAACCUCAUGGUUCCCAGUCGGAUUCGUUAACCACUGCGCCACGACGGGAACUCCGUGGAAUGUAAAAUGCAUAUUUUAAAACAUGUCUCUUGGGAGUAUUAAAAUUCCAGUGGAAAUUUAAAAUAUUCUUUAUUCAAAAGUAUUAAUACCAUUUGGAAGAGCCACUUUACUCUCUAGUGUUAAACACAUCUAUGUAGUGGGGCUUUCAUUAAUUCAGAUGAAAAUAUCUCACGUGAGUGUGAUUGCCAUUGGAAAAAAGUUAAACUUCACUUUUAAUUAUCGCGCCUUGCCUCUCAACAUUUACCCGGCAAAUAUUGUCAAUUAUUUUUAUUAGUAGUUGACUUGAGUACAGUAUGCAUAUGUUGCUUUGAGUAAAAUGUGUGAUGAGUUUACACACGUUAAUCUUUUCAUUGUGACAGUAGUCAAAUUCAUAGUGUAGUUCCUGUGGUAAUAGAAACUGUUGUUCCUCCUUUAGUGAAGUUACUCUUUUUGAAUUUAGCUUAGGGUUUCCUGAAGCCACCUUUUGAUGACUAGGUCUUCUGUUUGUGUCCUCUCUUCCUUUCCUGAAGCUCUCGUUUACCAGCGCCUUUCUUUACCAGUCUUGGGCCAUUGCUGUAGGUUGUUUUUUCUUUUUCCUGUCGCUAACUGCAGAAUUAAAGGAUAAUUCUCUUAUCCCCUUUGAUCUAGUCUAUUCUGACCAUUUAAGAAUGAGUGGUAAUCUUACUGGUUCGGAGACAUUGCAUCCUUUGUACUCUUUUUGAGAAUACCUUGGCAGAACUGAUUGGUGUCUCUUGGGGGUCCCUUGGCACAGAAAAAAUGCAGAGGGUCAGCGGGAAAAGUGGGUUCAGGAUUUUGCUUAAUUUUAACAAUAGGAAGAUCCACAGGAAUUCUUCCUUUUUUUUUCCCCCUGGUACACUUUAUUUCUAGGAUACUAGGGAACAACAAAAUUAAUUCUACUCUGCUGUCAAAUCUCUUCUUGGCAUCAGAGGCAUCAAGCUCUGAUUUUCUGAGGUAACCAACGUCUCCCACAUUGGGUAAGCCUUGCAUUAUAUCACAUAGAAAUUCUUUUGAUUUGCUAAAGGCUUGCUUUGUGAUUGGGUACGUGCUAAGGUUUUUUUGGUUAAUUUAGACUUUUGGGUAUAUCAAGCAUUUUGGAUAUUGCCCUACUCCUUGGUAAUGAUGCAUAGAAGUCUGUAUUGGUGUAUGUGGUGGCUAAAAUAUGAACUCAUAAAGCUAAUGUUAAAAUCAACAUUAAGCCGUUCUUGAUACUCACCAGAAUUUGGACUUUACCUUAUCGAGACCCUCCUAGGAGAUUACUCUGGAUGAAUCAGAUUUCAUCCACCAAGCAGUUAUUAAGCAUGUGUGGAAUACCACACAGUAGGAAUGCGGAAAAAAAAAAAAAAAA